UGCAAGAUGAAAAAAGGUUGGUGAUUGAAAGGAAAGCGAGACAAUGUAAUGCAAGCUGUAGAAAUGCGGAUUUUUUUUGGAAAUGUCUUCCAUGAUGUGUUAUUCUGCUUUCAUUUCUGUAACAUGAUUUUGCGCGGAAAGGUCUCAAACAAAAGUGCGACUGCGCGCAUGCACGUAUGCGCUUAAUCCGCUUAGUACCAAUUAUAGAUGGAGGAUUGAUAUUUUGGCAGUUAGGAUUAAAACCUGUUCUUCUUCAAUCCCUCUUUAAAGCAGGGAUACCCUCCUUGCAGCCCAACUAUUCCUCCGAUUCGCACUACUAAUUUGUUCACAGGCUAAUGUUUACAGAUCUGUUGGAAUAGGGAUGAAUGCGCCCAUUCAUAGUGUUGAAAAUAGGAUAUUCGAGUUGCUUUGUUUAGACACCCCAUCAUUCAAUAUGCUCACAGCUGUGUUGGUAAGGAAUGCAUAUGUAUUAUUGAUGCAUAAGGAGUUACCAAUUUGUUAAUAGAUAAGUAGGUCAUAACUGCUAUUCUUUUCCAAAAUCAUAAUUUCUGUCGCUUUUCAUUAGUACCUGCUGAAUAAAAUUGGUAAUGGAUGGGUCAUCAGAGAAACCGUUUUCUGUACCGGAUUUUACACUCCCACGCUCUCAUGCACAGCGUUCUAAUAAAUUUCCGUAUAUCUUAAAAGAAUACAUUAUACUCUAUGUUAAGAUCAUAUUUCCAAAUUCGAUUACUUGACAGUUGACUAAAAGAGUGUAUAGCGUGUACACUACCACAAAGAAAAGUUCCAUUUUAGAGUUGAACCCCCGAAAUUCAUUCGAAAAGCAAAACGAUUUCCUUUACUAUGUUUUUUCUAAAUUUUCCAUAUCGUAACGAAAAUUUUGGUAGGGAGAAUAACUCACUCAUCACAAGUUGAUCAUUUUAUUGCAUACAUGGUAAAACCCAUUUUUAGAGAAAACGCAUCGGCUGAUACUAAUUUGCAAUAAAAAAUAUAUUAUCAUCCCUGGCAACUGUUUAUUAGUUUUAGGUUAGCAUGGGAAGAACAGUGGUGUGGAAAACGGUUAAAUUAGGAAUUGCUCGAUAAUUCAAGCACAUGGAAAACUUACACCAACUUCUUCUUUAACAACUUGAAAUUAACGUCUCCAUCAUUGUCGUAUUCAUAAUAGUGCAAUAUUACUGUAUAAUCUAACAACUUACACAAUACAAUAUUAGUUAUUCUUAGCUACAACUUACUUGAAAACAUUAAUCACAUGACUUUUCUUAUAAGCUAAAGAUUCAUUAUAUUUCGAAAUGAAAUUACGAGAUGUUAAAGAAUCACGAAUUCAAAAAAAUAGACGACCAUAACAGUGUCAGGUUUCUUAGAUACUCUGCUUUACUAACAUAGCGGGCAGAAAUAUAAAAGAUUCUUGAGAUGCAGUUAUGCUCGUAAAAAAUAAAUAACCGAUAACCGCUGUGAACGAGAACAAAAAAAGCACAUGAAAAAGCCUUGAGCUCAGUUUAGCUAAUCGAUAAUUCGAAUGAACAUAGAGAAGUUUAUAUUAUUCAGCGGUCACCACGAUCAUACAAACAACAAACCAUCAGAUAUAUUUCAUCAAACCACAAGUUAAAUUUUCAUCGCAUACCAAUCACCUAAGCGACCAUAUAAAGCGCAAUAAGAAUUGACAACGUACUCAAUACGAAAGAGCUUUUUGCGGUAGAAAUGGCAGAAGAAGGAGUGAAUGAAGAGCUGCUUGACGAUUGCCUUGAACUGACACUGCUAGUAGUAGUAGAAGUAGACGAAGCAGGAGUAUAGCUCGAGCUCGAGCUGCUACCGCUAGAAGUG